rnacentral:rRNA from 1 species
UACGUAUGGUGCAAGCGUUAUCCGGAUUUACUGGGUGUAAAGGGAGCGCAGGCGGCACGGCAAGCCUGAUGUGAAAGCCCGCGGCCCAACCGCGGGACUGCAUUGGGAACUACCGGGCUGGAGUGCCGGAGAGGUAGGCGGAAUUCCUAGUGUAGCGGUGAAAUGCGUAGAUAUUAGGAGGGACACCAGUGGCGAAGGCGGCUUACUGGACUGUAACUGACGUUGAGGCUCGAAAGCGUGGGGAGCAAACAGG